AGAGUUUGAUCCUGGCUCAGGAUGAACGCUGGCGGCGUGCCUAAUACAUGCAAGUCGAGCGGUAACACUUAGGGUGACGAGCGGCGGACGGCUGAGUAACACGUAGGAACGUACCCCAAACUGAGGGAUAAGCACCGGAAACGGUGUCUAAUACCGCAUGUGAUCUUCGGAUUAAAGCUUCGGCGGUUUGGGAACGGCCUGCGCAUGAUUAGUUAGUUGGUGAGGUAAAAGCUCGCCAAGACGACGAUCAUUAGCUGGUCUGAGAGGAUGAUCAGCCAGACUGGAACUGAGAACGGUCCAGACUCCUACGGGAGGCAGCAGUAGGGAAUUUUCCACAAUGGACGAAAGUCUGAUGGAGCAACGCCGCGUGCAGGAUGAAGGGUUUCGGCUCGUAAACUGCUUUUGUCUGUGACGAUUAUGACGGUAGCAGACGAAUAAGGAUCGGCUAACUCCGUGCCAGCAGCCGCGGUCAUACGGAGGAUCCAAGCGUUAUCCGGAAUUACUGGGCGUAAAGAGUUGCGUAGGUGGCAUUGUAAGUUUGUAGUGAAAGCGUGGGGCUCAACCCCAUAUCCAUUAUGAAAACUGCAAAGCUAGAGGACAAGAGAGGUUAUUGGAAUUCCUAGUGUAGGAGUGAAAUCCGUAGAUAUUAGGAGGAACACCGAUGGCGUAGGCAGAUAACUGGCUUGUUCCUGACACUAAGGCACGAAAGCAUGGGUAGCAAACGGGAUUAGAUACCCCGGUAGUCCAUGCUGUAAACGAUGGAUGCUAGCUGUUGGAGGUAUCGACCCCCCCAGUAGCGAAGCUAACGCGUUAAGCAUCCCGCCUGUGGAGUACGGUCGCAAGACUAAAACAUAAAGGAAUUGACGGGGACCCGCACAAGCGGUGGAGCGUGUUGUUUAAUUCGAUGAUAAGCGAAGAACCUUACCCAGGCUUGACAUCCUUGGAAUUUUUACGAAAGUAGAGAGUGCCUUUGGAACCAAGUGACAGGUGUUGCAUGGCCGUCGCCAGCUCGUGUCGUGAGAUGUUUGGUUAAGUCCAUCAACGAGCGCAACCCUUGUAGUUAGUUGAAUUUUUCUAGCUAGACUGCCCUGGUAACAGGGAGGAAGGAGGGGAUGAUGUCAGGUCAGUAUUACCCUUACGUCUGGGGCUACAAACACGCUACAAUGGCCGGUACAAAGGGCAGCCAAGUCGCAAGACGGAGCAAAUCCCAUCAAAGCCGGUCCCAGUUCGGAUAGCAGGCUGAAACUCGCCUGCUUGAAGUCGGAAUCGCUAGUAACGGUAGGUCAGCUAUACUACCGUGAAUACGUUCCCGGGUCUUGUACACACCGCCCGUCAAACCAUGAAAGUCGCCAAUACCUGACGUGCCAGCUUGCCUGGCCCUAAGGUAGGGGAGAUGAUUGGGGUUAAGUCGUAACAAGGU
rnacentral:rRNA from 1 species